CUUGCUGGGAAUAAUGAGAAGUAUAGAGGCAGGUGUUUAGGUGGCUGAGGUUGCCAGGGCUACGCGGCUUGUCUUCCAUGACCGAUCAGCACAGUGAGAAAAAGCAGGGACAUGAUGUCCUGGCUUACUGCACAAGAAUCAUUCUAGAAGGGCAAAGCAACGAACAGGAGAACAUUUCUUUCUUUCAUGAAACCAUUCGGUGCCAGACACUCUGGAAGAUCAGCAUGCCUGUUGCUAGCUAUUGGUGUCCAAAACACUUCAGUCAGUGCAGUGAGAAGGUUGAGUGACAACCCCUUCCUAGUAUACCACUUUUGAACAGGACAGUGUGGAACAGCUCGGUAUGGUGAUCAGUUUGAUUCCUUGUCCUACUUGUACUCUGUAAUUGAGUAAUGGCUCACUGCGAUGAAGGACUCCAAAUCUGACUGCCAGAACAUGGCCAUAACUCAUCCUUGAUGAGACUGCUCUCUCACAGCAGCUUACAGAUACGACAAAUUUAAUUGGAGUUCAAAGCAGAGUAAACACACAAACAGAAAGAUGUCAAACAUAAAUUCUGGAUUUCUGGCACACCCUGGAUGUGCUGAGCACCACUUUCAUUCAGUUGAAGAUUAGGCUAUGUUUACUUCUCCUCUUCCACCUUACGCCAGCUGAAAGGGUCAAUAUAGCAGCCUACCACUGAAAGAGGAAAGCCGAGCACACUCAGAAUGUUCCAGCAAAGCCUUUUCCAAAAAGAGCUCUGACUACUUUACUGCACAAAGAAGGAAGGGAAAAAAAGGAAAGUGAACUGAAUUCCUCUACUGCCUCUUUUUGAUGUGCAGCCAUGUACAGAAAUCUGCAUUUAUAAACUGUUAUCUGUCCAAUACAUUGAAUUUGAGCUGUGUUUUAUGAAGCAUGCAAUAGUAAUUAAAGUGAUCUUUUG
ensembl:lncRNA